rnacentral:lncRNA from 1 species
UGAAUUUCAUUUGCAUGAACGGUUCAGAAGAAGCUAAGGGCGUAUUGCACCUUCCCUAAGAAGGUACAACAAGAAACAAACCUAGCAUUAAAUAUCCAUUCACUCCCCCAAUCUUAAACUCUUCGCGCACGCCGCUUUUGAUGUACGGCAUCAAUACAAACACCAAAACAAUAAAUACAAGUCACUCCUCCCUCCCAUUGGCACAAAUAAAAACCCCACAUUAUUAUUAUACUGUACUUGAACAACUACUGAAGAAAUCAACCCUAGAAGUGAAUCACUUCAUUAUUAUGUAAUGCAUCAUAAGAAAUCCGAAGUUCAGAUCGGAAAAGAAAGCAGUGG